GAGAGCCUCCUGUGGAUCUGACUCUGCUCCAAGGCCUUACAGGGAAUGGAGCCCAGAAAGGGCCUCUGCUUUUGGAUGCUCCCCCGCAGCCGGCGCUGCUGACUCAGGCAAUGCUGUCUCUUUACCAUAACCAGUUAGAAACUCUGAACCAUAAGCCUCAAGGGGGAACACAACCUCCCCACCUUUAUAUGGGGAGCAAGGGAGGAUUCAGGAGCUGGAGUAAAGGUUGGGACAAGCUCCUCCAUUUAGGAGAAGGGAAAUCAGAAGCGGGUAUCUGCUAUGAACCUACCUGGAAAAAAAGGCUCACCAG